rnacentral:rRNA from 1 species
CCCUUAGAUGUUCUGGGCCGCACGCGUGCUACACUGAGUGGAUCAGCGGGUCAGGUUGCGCGAAAGUGUUUCCUAAUCUUGAAAUCCGCUCGUGAUGGGGAUUGACGGUUGCAAUUUUCCGUCAUGAACGAGGAAUACCUUGUAAGCGCGGGUCAUCAUCCCGCGCUGAAUACGUCCCUGCCCUUUGUACACACCGCCCGUCGCUCCUACCGAUUGGGUGUGCUGGUGAAAUGUUCGGAUCGGCCGUUUGUCGCGGUUUCCGCGUCAUGUGGCUGAGAAGUUCAUUAAACCCUCCCACCUAGAGGAAGGAGAAGUCGUAACA